AGAGAUAGCCCAAAAAUCCCUACGAACUGCAAUGCACUCAGAAAACGAAUAUAAAAUUGAAAAGUAAUGUAGUGUCGAGUGGGAAUGGAAUUUGUACUCCAAGUGCAGAUUCAAUCCAUUGUGAAUCGAUUUCCAAACGAUUUCAGACGUUCAGAGGAGCGUGCCCUAACGGCACUCAAGCGCACAUUCAAUUCACUACGUGCCCUAACGGCACUCAAAUUACAAUGCCCGUUGCAAAAAGCAGAUCGUGUUUAGCUCCAAUUUUGUAAUCCUUUAUUGCUUUGUUCAAUUAAAAAAAAAAAACAGAUCGUAUUACCGUUGAAAAAAGCAGGAUUUCAAUUCUUUUAAAAGGAGUUAUACUAGAGAAGCAGGGCAGAUUAUAUUGUUCUUCCAUUUUUUUGGUUUUCUUUUGUAAGUUCAAUUUUUUCUUUUGGCGUGGCCAUGCCUUUGAGUCUUUCUUUCCUCAGUUUUAGUUUGUAAUUUUUACUUUCUAUACUCAGAUGUUUUCAUUUGCUUUCUGGGUUUGAAUUGCAGUUUUUUGUUUUGGUAUUUUGUGUAUUUUUUUUCUGUGGAGCGUCAUUUUUAAUGGGCAUGGAGGUAGGCAGCAGCAAGAAUUCUACGUUCUGGAGUGGCUGAUUGGAGUUAUGCACAGAAAAUGCCAAGACAUUUGGAAUUUUCAACAAUCUGUUGGGAUUUUUGGGAGGUAGAUCCCCUGAAUAAAUGCAACAUCACCAUACGUGGAACAAAUCUUCUUCAGUAGAUGAUCCAGAAAGAUGGUCCAAAGGGCAGAGCCAGAGGUGAUUGACUCUGUUUGACCCUACCAAUACGUUCACCAUAUCUUGGUCAACAUGCUGUCGAGUGUGUAGAAAUGUAUGGAGGCUUGAAUGGGUAGCUGCUGAAGUCAAAUAAUGAAUGUAAUAUUUAAAUUUUCAGGAAAAAAAUGUUAGGAAUCUUGAAUGGGCUGCUAAGUGCAACAUUUUCUAUUUAAAAUUGAAGAAAAUGUUGCACUUUUAAAUUAGUUUCUGAAACCAGUAUUUGUAAAUUGAUAUGUCAACGGGUUUGUUGUUUAAUGCCAAUUUUAUAUUUGGGACAUUGGCAGGAAUUGAUCUAAAUUUCAACCAUGGUUGAUCUUGUAGUGUCUAGAAAUGUUUGGGGACUUGAAUGGGUAGCUGCUGAAGUCAAAUAAUGAAUGUAAUAUUUAAAAUUUCAGAAAAAAAUCUUAGGAAUCUUGAAUGGGCGGCUAAUUGUAACAUUUAAUAUUUAAAAUUGAAGAAAAUGUUGCACUUUUGACUUAAA